rnacentral:rRNA from 1 species
CCCUUAGAUGUUCUGGGCCGCACACGCGCUACACUGAAGGAGGCAGCGUGUACUCCUGGAUCGAAAGAUUUGGGUAACCCGCGAAUCUCCUUCGUGCUAGGGAUUGAGGUUUGCAAUUAUCCUUCAUGAACGAGGAAUUCCCAGUAAGUGCAAGUCAUAAGCUUGCGCUGACUACGUCCCUGCCCUUUGUACACACCGCCCGUCGCUCCUACCGAGUGGGUGAUCCGGUGAACUAUUCGGACUCCGGUUAUUCCAGCAUUUGGUUUUGCUGGGGAAAGUUUCGUGAACCUUAUCACUUGGAGGAAGGAGAAGUCGUANCA